rnacentral:rRNA from 1 species
UACGAAGGGGGCUAGCGUUGUUCGGAAUUACUGGGCGUAAAGCGCACGUAGGCGGAUAUUUAAGUCAGGGGUGAAAUCCCGCAGCUCAACUGCGGAACUGCCUUUGAUACUGGGUAUCUUGAGUACGGAAGAGGUUAGUGGAAUUGCGAGUGUAGAGGUGAAAUUCGUAGAUAUUCGCAGGAACACCAGUGGCGAAGGCGGCUAACUGGUCCAUAACUGACGCUGAGGUGCGAAAGCGUGGGGAGCAAACAGGG